CUGCCCCGACUUGAGAGGUGGAAUGGGUUGAAGAACAAGCAGGCUUUCCACUGGGUUGAAUUUUAAAUUUGAACAAUGGUUCAAAGGCUGAGAGACAAACUGCUCAUUACUGGAAAGAGUGCCAGGAAUCCUGGGAAGCAGGCCUCCCUCCCCACCGGAGCACUGCACCUCAUAGUAAUGGCCUCUUUCAUAGUCACGGAAAGGUUGGAUCAGCGUUUCUUUUCAUUCCUGUCUUUUUUCAGGGACUGCUGGGAUAAAAGGAAGUCUAGAAGAAUAAAAAAUUCACAAACAGGAGAAGAAUAAAAUAUUUAGGGCAAGAGA
rnacentral:lncRNA from 1 species